rnacentral:rRNA from 1 species
CAGCAGCCGCGGUAAUACGGAGGAUCCAAGCGUUAUCCGGAAUCAUUGGGUUUAAAGGGUCCGUAGGCGGUCUUGUAAGUCAGUGGUGAAAGCCCAUCGCUCAACGGUGGAACGGCCAUUGAUACUGCAGGACUUGAAUUAUUGGGAAGUAACUAGAAUAUGUAGUGUAGCGGUGAAAUGCUUAGAGAUUACAUGGAAUACCAAUUGCGAAGGCAGGUUACUACCAAUUGAUUGACGCUGAUGGACGAAAGCGUGGGUAGCGAACAGGAUUAGAUACCCCGGUAGUCCCUGUCUCUUAUAU